rnacentral:rRNA from 12 species
AUAUAGACCGUACCCUAAACCGACACAGGUGGGCAGGUAGAGUAUACCAAGGCGCUUGAGAGAAGUAUCCUGAAGGAACUCGGCAAAUUACCUCCGUAACUUCGGGAGAAGGAGGCCCUGUCAGAAGGCAACUUUUGGCAGGGGGCACAAGCUGGGGGGUAGCGACUGUUUAGCAAAAACACAGGACUCUGCUAAGUCGGCUUCAAGACGACGUAUAGGGUCUGACGCCUGCCCGGUGCUCGAAGGUUAAGAGGAGGAGUGCAAGCUCUGAAUUGAAGCCCGAGUAAACGGCGGCCGUAACAAUAACGGUCCUAAGGUA